rfam:Populus trichocarpa scaffold_16_contig_80, whole genome shotgun sequence.
UCUAGGACUCGAGAUAUGGGCUGAACACUGAACAGUGUCUGGGCUACAGGACAAAUUCCGACUUCUCUGUUGUUGCUACAAUUUGAACUUGAAAACGGUCCUUUUGAAUCUUGGACUCUUUAUGAACGUUUUAGGCCUAUGUCAUAGCUUUCUAUC